CUCUUCCCCAGGAUGAACAACCUCCAUUCUCAGCCUGUCUUCACAGGAGAGGUGCUCCAGCCCUUUGAGCAUCUCUUUGCUCUUUCUCAGUGGCAAGGUACUCACAGUGCUGGGUAUUUGUGAACAGCACCGAAAAUUGGGUAUUCACUGGUGAUAUAAAUAAAAUCAGCAACUGAACACGACUCUGAGAGCAAGUGAAAUAAACCACGGAACCAGA